rnacentral:tRNA from 1 species
GAGCCUUUGGGUAAUAUUGAGAGGCUCCGCCUUCUAAGCGGCAGGUCGUAGGUUCGAGCCCUACCGGGGUCGCCA